AUUGAACGCUGGCGGCAGGCUUAACACAUGCAAGUCGAGCGGAGCGGCGGACGGGUGAGUAAUGCUUAGGAAUAUGCCUAUUAGUGGGGGACAACAUCGCGAAAGGGAUGCUAAUACCGAAUACUAUCAGAUGAGCCUAGGUCGGAUUAGCUAGUUGGUGGGGUAAAGGCCUACCAAGGCGACGAUCCGUAACUGGUCUGAGAGGAUGAUCAGGCACACUUGAACUGCGACACUGUCCAGACUCCUACGGGAGGCAGCAGUGGGGAAUCUUGGACAUUGGGCGAAAGCCUGAUCCAGCCAUGCCGCGUGUGUGAAGAAGGUCUUCGGAUUGUAAAUCACUUUAAGUUGGGAGGCGUUACCAACAGAAUAAGCACCGGCUAACUCUGUGCCAGCAGCCGCGGUAAUAC
rnacentral:rRNA from 1 species